UACUAUCAGUCAAGUCAAGGCACGUCUUUGCACAUUAAUUAGAUUAAAAAUCAAAAUUGACCAAAAGUCAAAAUUGCAAUUCGCGUUCACUUUUACUUAUCACGAAACGAACGCCUCCGCCUCCGCCUUCGGUCGACGACGCCUCCGCCUCCGGCCGACGACGCCUCUGCCUCUGGUCUCCAGUCGAUGACACAGACGAAUCCGGCCUACAGCCGCUUCCGCCUCCUCCUUCUUUCACGUUGUUUACAGCCUUUUCAAGGUUGUAUAUGAAGAAAGAUAUCUUUAACAUAUCUUUACCCUCAUCGUUUUCUAUGAUCAUUUUCUUAUCAACGGGUCUGAGGUAGAAAGAAAAACUAGAAAAAGAAGUGUUGGUAAACCCAAAACGAAACAUCUUGAAGCAAGAUUUCCUGUUAUGGAGGCUUUGCAUAAAUGUUUUUGUAAGGCAUACAAUGAAUCAGCCACACAGGGGAAAGAGAGGUUAGAGAAAUUGAAGAGUUUGUUUCAGCUGGAAUGGUGAUCCAUGUGUUCCACAGCAUCCAUGGACUGGAAUUGGUUGUGUAAUAAGACUGGAUGGAAUGCCAAAGCCAAAGCCAACAUCAAAUACGGUUGUAUAGUGGUGUAUUAGAUGUGCAUAUAUGGCGUAUUAGAUGAUUGUAUGCGAUGGUUGUAAAAAUAGAUAGGAUACAUAUAGUACGGUUAAAUAGCCGUACUCUAUUAUGAAUGUAAUCUAAUACACCCCUCUACUAAUACACCCUCUAUGUCCGUAUUAUAUUCAUAAUUUCAACCGUACUCUAUUAACCUU